AAGUUCCUUCUCCUUAAGGGUCUGAUGCUCUUGAAAGACAUUCUCCCUCAGCUUGUGUAUGCUUGAUGGAAGAGAUGAAAAUAGGAACAGAUCAAUAAAACAGACGUGCAGCUUUGCCUCCUGGUAUGAUAAAUAAGAACAGGUGACAUUAUCUUUGUAAAUUUGUAAAUCUGCUUAUCUGAUGUUCACCGAUUCUCUCCCUGCACUGUGCCUUCCUGACUAUUCUGCCGGCUGGUACACCCACUUCGGCAGUCUGCAGUAUCAGACGCAUGCUCUGUGGGAGACAGAACACGAAUCUGAAGGCAGACACUGGGAUCAUCCCAAAUCCCCGCUAAAGAUGGCUCUACUGAAGCCUGACCUUUAUUUCACACGCAGAAAAUAGGAAAGCUAGUCUGUAAUCAUCCAGAGGUAGAGGGGGAAACACGAGGCUAUGGUCCCUUCCUCGGCCACUGGCAGAAGUCCAGUGGUGCUGAACAUUCAGAUGAUUCGUCUGUACUUGAAGUACUCCAGCUUUUUUAUACAUUCAAAGAUGAGAGGAAAGCGUUUCAGAAUUUAACAUCUAAAUGCCAUUAAAAAAUUUUAAUACAGCAGAUAAUGAAACAGAUGACAAGGUUUGCUCAAAUCUGGUAGGCCAGACACAGCUGUCAUUGAGAGACCCCAGAGUGAUAAGAAGGCCACUUUGGCAUUCGGACUUUCUGCCCAGGAGACACCAGGACGCCACCUUUGACAUCUGGACGACAAUCCUAGAAUUGAAGAUGAAAUACAAACCAGGCUUGGAAACCGCCCAAUACCCUUAUGAGCAGGAGAAAGAAAGACACCACUCCUAAAACCUGGGAAGGCCCCAGAGCAUGAAGAAUGGGCUUAUUCCCCAUGUGUUCCUCUCUGAAUCCUAACCAGCCCAAGGGUUUUGUACUGGAGAGUUGUUUUUUCUCCAAGCCACCCUCCGAGACAUGUUUUGAAGCCACAGGGAACAGAAGAGAUGAGAAGAGGUAUGAUGACUCAACGAAUUCAGGAGUCUGCUUAACGCCAUAGCAAAUACCCAAGGCUACAGUGGACUCCCAAGUCAGCCCCAUUCCAGUCUCUUGUCCUGGGCAGCCGCACGGCCACCGGAGUUCCGAAGCUGCUUCUGUGGAAGGGAGUGUGCUGAGCAAGCCAGAGAGGGACUAAAACUUGUGUAUAAAAAGCCACUGGGGGCCAG
rnacentral:lncRNA from 1 species